GGGGGGUGUUGGGAUGGCAAAGUCUACAAUUUUUCUUCUUCAAUUUGUUUAGGGAAGUAUGUGUAUUAUUAAGGGCUAUUACUUCAGGAAAUGGAGAAAAGGCUGAAAGCAAAAAAGUUAAAUAUCUUCCUUAAUGCACUAUUCUGGUGACAAACGUGUCAGUAAUUGGAAAUUACAUAUGUAUGGGUAUUUGUAUGCACCAUGAGCAUAGAUUUAUAAGUUUGGAGAGUCAGAUUAAUUGACAUAGAAUAGAAUUAUUGGAGCUAGCAUCAAAGUCAAAAUUUUCUUCUUCUUUAAAUUCCUUGCUUUUUCACUAUCAGAGAAUUAAUUGGGAUACCUUCCAUGUCAAUUAGUGAAUGAUAGAUAAUGAAAUGGUAAUUUUGCUUCUGUUAUCAUUUUUUACGGGAUUUACUUUUAAGGGAAAGGUAUUGUGAUGUAUCAUUUAUCUUCAGUCUUUUUUUUUUUUAUAUACAAUCCUCUUCGGUUUUAAUCCAUAAAACAAAAAUUGAUGA
rnacentral:misc_RNA from 1 species